CAAAUACAUCGAUCUGAUACUAGAAUAUCGAUCCCCUUGCCAUAUUCACCCGGAUUUAUUUUAGCUUUACCAAGCUAAGCAAGAGUUGUAUCCCUUAGAUUGUCGAACUUCCGGUGUUUGUUUGAGUCGAACUACGUAUAUCUCGAAAUAUUUUUCUGGUCCGGCUGACUUCGACAUAACGAGAGUCGACUGUAUAAUAUAUAUGUAAAAUUGUGCUGAUAUUUUAUGAUGUAUUUCAUAUUGAUCUGAAAAAGUACGUUUUGUACUUUUAAUGCAUUAUAGAUAUGUAGGACUCUAAAGUGCGAUGGGGACGCUAAAGUACAAUGGUCACGCUAAAACGGAUGGUCUGCGCUAAAGUGCGAUGCCUCCAUACGCUGAAGUCUGAUGGUCUGCGAAAGUAUAGACGUAAGAAAGGUAGUUGAAAUAUGACGUUAACAGUCGUUUAUACAAACUAAAAAUUAACAUGCUGGAAGACAAAUUAAAAAUAUUUGAUUAAGAACUUUUCAACCAAAUGUCAAUGACUUAUUUAACUUAAACCUAACUGUGCUUUGUGAGUUAAAGGAAAGAUGUUUUAUUUCAGUAGCUUAAAGAAGAACUUGUAUCCUGCAGUUGACCGUUUUACCAUAGGCCCUAUAGAUACAAGUAGUAUUCAAAUAGAUAUCCUGUAUCCUGCUUUUAUUGGAAGCGAACAGAUGCAUUUGAAUCAUUGUUUAUGUUAGAGUUUAUUUUGCUGUUCCCGUUAAAAUGUUGUCGCUUUUAUUGAAAAGUAACGUGGGCAAAAUAAUGGUACACAUUUUGAUGCGUAAAAUAUGAAUUGUCGGCUAAAAGAUUAGUUUGAACAUUGCAGGAAAAUAUAACAUGGAUGUGUAGUCGCUACAAAACAAGAGAAAAUUUAGCUCGACAAACAUCGCCUUUCUCUCUCAUUUAAAUUAAAACCUUAACCAAAAGAUGUUACAUAUUCUGACAAUAAUCAAAUUUUGUAUUUGUAAUUAUUUACAAUCUUUUAGAAUCAUUCACUUAAGACUACUAUAAAAUUAUAAUGCCUAUCACAUAUGGUAUACCUUAUAAUACUAAAUUUUGCUAAGAACCAUUUUUACAUUAAAUGUUCUGUAAUGUUUCUUAAAGCCCUGGAACCUUAUCUCAUUGGUCCAUCGCACUUUAGCGUGAUUUACCAUUGUACUUAAGCAAACAAACAACUAUUGCACUUUAGCUUGAGACACCAUCAUACUUUUGCCUAGACCAUUGCACUUUAGUGUACAAUCGUACUUAAGGGUCCUACAAAUAUAUCUUUUUUAUACCCCUGCUUUAAAAAAAGGGGGGAGAUAUACUGUUUUACCUCUGUCUGUCCGUCCCAUGAAUAUUUUCAUUGCAUUUUAUAGCCAAGUUGCAAAUUUUCAUCACAUUUUUCUUUGGAACUACAAUACAAGGAUUUCUAAAAUUUGGUUUCAGAGUUUAUAUAAGUAAGUAGUACUGUGUGAUACGUUUUCAGAUUCAUCACUCAGCAACUUCCUGUUUACCGAACACUUGUAUCAUUUUACACAUGAUAGUCAAGUAAAACUUUCGUCACAUUUUUCUUAUCUUCUUACGAACCACUGUACAAGGAUUUCUGAAAUUUUGUUUCAGGGUUUGUAACUUUAUACCGUGUGGUGGGUUUUCAGAUUCAUCACGCAACAACUUCUGUUUACCCACUAAAUAUUUCGUCCGGGGUAUCAUCAGUGAGCAGUAGCUCACAGUUUUACUUGUUUCAUAUGUUUUUAGUCAAUUACAUCAAUGUUACUAUGCAUACUAUAUAAUUGCUUUGUCUUGUCCUUUCAAAAUAACAAUUGAAACAAAAAUGUUUUUCAAAGUUUCAGUUUUAAUUCAUCUUUUAGAAAUGUAUUUUUGAUGAAAAUUAUAUCUGUGUAACAGUUAGUUGUAUUUUUGCAAGUUAUACCCUUUUUGAUAUUAUGUCUAUUCCGUCCAUUGUUUAAUAAACUAUUUAAAUGUGAUAAAUUGUUACAGUCUAAACUUUUGUUAGAGAUUUUUUUCUAGAUUUACAUGUAUUGUAUUAUGUUGUAGCAUUCACAUGCCUUUAUUGUAAUGUUAUUGUUGCAUACUUAUUAUGUUA
rnacentral:lncRNA from 1 species